AGAGCGAACGCUGGCGGCAGGCUUAACACAUGCAAGUCGAACGGAUCCUUCGGGAUUAGUGGCGGACGGGUGAGUAACACGUGGGAACGUGCCUUUAGGUUCGGAACAACACAGGGAAACUUGUGCUAAUACCGGAUGUGCCCUUCGGGGGAAAGAUUUAUCGCCGAAAGAUUGGCCCGCGUCUGAUUAGCUAGUUGGUGAGGUAACGGCUCACCAAGGCGACGAUCAGUAGCUGGUCUGAGAGGAUGAUCAGCCACAUUGGGACUGAGACACGGCCCAAACUCCUACGGGAGGCAGCAGUGGGGAAUAUUGGACAAUGGGCGCAAGCCUGAUCCAGCCAUGCCGCGUGAGUGAUGAAGGCCCUAGGGUUGUAAAGCUCUUUUGUGCGGGAAGAUAAUGACGGUACCGCAAGAAUAACGCCCGGCUAACUUCGUGCCAGCAGCCGC
rnacentral:rRNA from 1 species